AAUCAGCAUGCCCGGAGAGGUCGGCUCAUUGGGUGCCAUAAUAGCCUAAGAAGCCUCUUAGAUGAUUUCCCUGUCAUCAGAGACAAGUCCUUCAUAAUUGAACUAUCUCAAGGAAAAUAAGAGGAGCAUGGAAAACCUUGCAGCCGAUCCCAGAUCCUUCCAUCCUCGAUCACUGUCUUUGCUCUCUCCAGAUGGAUGCACCUUCCUCAACUUGUGGUUCAUCCCUCACCCUACUGAAGCAUUGAUCAUGUUCAAAACACUUCCAGAGAAGACUGCUCUCAGAGCUCUCCACCUAAGCCUAGAAAUCAUUGGUGCAUUUCACAACAUGGUUUCGUAUCUCUUAGCUUCUGCUCACUUAGGAAAUUCCCCAAACUGAAAAGCCUCUGAUCCCAGACUGGGGGGGGACCAACAGGACUGCUAAGUAACAAAUACUGUGUCCUUAAGGUAAAUGGUUCCAAGUGCAAAAUGAUGAAGUGCUGAUGGUGAAAAAGCGACAAGAGGAGUAUGAAGAUGAGAUUGACGUCAGCUGAAGAAUAAUGACAGAAUUCUAUCUUUUUUUUUUUACUCUUUUUAUGCUCCAUUUUACUGAUGGAAGACUGUGUUUUGGGAGCAUGCCCACCACAUCAUAAUAUCUGUCACAAUCUCACAGCAAAGCAGUGUACCUACAGGGCUUGGGAGGUCUGCUCCAGCAGGGAACAGAAAACAUGGUCCAAAAAUUGCUCUUCCGCCUCUAGCAAGUGUCUGUUAAGCCAUCUGGUCAGCCCAUGUUGAUUUUAUCUUUACCAGGAGAUUAAAAAAGGCAGGCUUGGGUUCCUCCUCUAGUAAAUCUUGAUACUCCUUCCAAAGGGUGAAACAGCUGAGCUAUGUGUUGUCCUGCAUGAACAUGGAUUUGUGCAGAAAUAGGACUGGUUUCCCCAGUAGCUUUGACCUGUUGUUCAAGUUAAGCUGUACUGCAGGAGUAGGAUUUACCAACCUUUCCUUUAGUGAGGUGUGUAACUGCUGGCAACUAACCACCAUUUAGGUACCUCUGCU